AAAUCAGCAGGGGAUCAAAUAAAUAAAUGUGUGUGUGUACAUAUAAUAUAUCCCACAUACAGUAACAUGUACAUUUGUAAUAUUGACAUGAACAGGAUAAGUGCAUUUGUGCACUUUCAGUCUGUCAUCAAAACCGUAGCCAUAGUUUAUGUCAGGAAAUACUGACAGAGUACACUGUUUUGACAAAAUGGCUAAGCAUUUUGUAUAAAUAGGCCUACUUAAUUUUGAGAGAUGAACUAAAGAUGUUGCGCGAGUUACAGGCUUUAGCAGUUAAUCCAUCGUGGUGGUGUUUGUACGAAUUGUUUUGAGAAAUGCACAUAUAUAUUCGCAAAUAUUAAGAUCGAUACAAAAACUGAAAUUGAUUGUAGAAUGGUCAAGUUGAUGUAGGCUUGAUUUAACACCGCCAGGUGGCGCCCAAUAUCAAGAAGUUAGCUGUCUCCAAGAGAAGGGGGCGUGUGACGGAACAGAGAGCGAAAGAGAGAGGUAGAGAGAAAAAUCACAACUCAGCCAGUCGAGCAAUUUGAGAGGCUGCUGUCACGCACCCUGCGCACAGAAGCGACCAGCCGUGCGCCUUCUUCAUGCGCGGGAUCAGCACCGCACUGAGCUGGACAGGAUGCUGACGGACAGAUGGAAACACACCGAGUCUCUGCCGUAGAGACAGAGGGUCCACCCGCACAGCAAGUGCAUAAGGAGGAGAAGUAUUCGCCGGUACUCUAGGGCUGCAUCCUUAUCUUCAGAGGGGACAGCAUGGACAGAACAGUUAUCGUUAAAAUGGUAGUCUCAAAAAUUCGAUCCUAACAAGAGGGAAUUUGCGGGAAAGUGCGAACGAAGGAUUUGACCGGCUUGUCGGCGAUUUGUUUUAUAGCCUAGCACUUCAAUAAGUUGCUCGGGAGAAUGGAAAAGCCCACCCAGCCUCAGCUGCAGUCGAGCAUAUCCAAGAGCUCAGAAGGUCCCUCAGAGGACCUCUCCAAACUUACGGAUGAGGAGCUUCUGAAAUGGAGCAAGGAGGAGCUGGUUCGCCGGCUCCGCAGAGCCGAAGCUGAGAAGAUGAGCGUCAUAGUGGACCACAGCAAUCUCAUCCGAGAGGUGAACCGCAGGCUUCAGCAGCAUCUCAACGAAAUACGGGGGCUGAAGGAGGUGAAUCAGAAGCUGCAAGAGGACAACCAGGAGCUGCGGGACCUCUGCUGCUUUCUGGAUGACGACCGGCAGAAAGGGAAAAAGGUGUCGAGGGAGUGGCAGCGCCUGGGCCGCUACAGCGCAGGAAUCAUGCGUAAGGAGGUGACACUUUACCUGCAGAAGCUGAAAGAGCUGGAGCAGAGGCAGGAGGAAGUGGUGAGGGAGAACCUUGAACUGAGAGAGCUGUGCCUCAUGUUGGAUGAGGAGAAGGGCUCUGGAGGUACCGGCGGGUCAACGGGUACCGGGGGACCAGCAGGCUGCAGGAGUUCAAUCGAUAGUCAGAGCAGCCUGUCUCACGCUAGCGGCCCUGGGCCUGGCCUACUAAGGGAUGUGGGUGACGGGAGCAGUACCUCCAGCGCGGGCAGCACCGACAGCCCUGACCAUUUCACACAUAAACAGCAGCUGUUGGGUGGCCCGGUUGGAGGCAGUCCUGAUCACCUACAUAAGCCAGGCUCAGGGGAGGAGGCAAAGGGUCUUGAGCAAGCAAGCCGAAGACAUAGCACCAGCCAGGAGUACGCAGCACAUACCUUUCCCCAAGUGUGCCGGUCUCGCUGCGGGUCCUUCUCCAGUCCGGACCAUAAGGGCCUGCGGGGUCUCAGUCCAGAGAAACUUGGCAAGAGAGGCAGCCCUGAGCAGUUCUCAAAACACUUACUGGUGUCCUCUCAGCCGCCUGGCAGCCCAGAUCUUUUCCAGAAGCACAGGGGUAGCAUGGGUAGUGUGUGUGGGAGUCCAGAGCCCAAACAGAUUCUAUCAGGGACACCGGAGCACCUACAGAAGGGCCGUGUCAUAUCUGGGAGCCCUGAGUUGUUGAGGCAUCAGCAUGGCAAGUUUGGCAGCCCUGGCCGAGAGGUGGCACAGAAGAGGCCGGGCGUAGAGGAGAUGUCCCCUCAUCACCGGAGCAUCUAUAGCGGUAUGAACGGUGGCUCCGAUUGGAGCCUGCUGUAGCACCCACAAUGAGAUAUACGGAGUCCCAUUUGAGUACACCACACGCAGAGGGGAUGGCCAUCCUUCAUCCUGGAGCCAGCAAAGCCCCAAUUCCCAGCCAGGCAAUAAACCAUCCCAUUCAGCCAGCCAUGAUCUGCAUUUAGUUUAGUUUUGCUUUGCUCAGUUCAGGAGAGGCAAUGGCCAGAUAGAGCAGGGGCUUUAGUGUCUGGCUAGAGCAGAACAUCUCAUCUCUGGUAAAGGUCGGUGGUGUCCAGUCUUGGUCCUCUUGGGCCAUGAUUUUAGCAGGCUUUAGCUGCUUCCUAUCAAUCAGCCUCUGUACCUGUGCCUCCGAAGCCAUUUUUUUAUGCUCUGGAACCCAGCUGAGGGAACACUGUAAUCAAUCAAUGAAAGACCAAAAAGCUCAGAGGCCCAACAAAAGCCAGAAGACAGUGCUGCCCAGGAGGACCAGGAGUGGACACCAUUGUAUUUGCCAUAUGCACGCAGGGGAUCAACUGCUGAGCAAGUGAGCUCUGAUUUCGGCUGGCUGUUGCACCAGCUCCUGUAGAAGUGUCAAGCUUUGGGACAGUUUUGAUGCCUCCUGACCAUUGCCUUGACUGGAUUCAGUGGGCUAUGAAAAAGGAUCCCUGUUGCUUUCAUUUAACUUGCACUGACAGAAAUGGAAGACAAGGAUGAAAAAGCCUUGAGUAAAGGACAAAAACGUUUGCGCAGCCAGUGUCUCUCGUCCCCCUCCCUCACCAUACUGGUUCCUGCUGGUCUCCCAAUACAACUUACAGCCCUGCAAAUCCGAGGCCUGGAGGAGGGAUUCUUUAGGGUUUAAACAGCUGGAAAUAACACGAUUGCCAAAAGGAUUUCUCAAAUGGGAGAUUUAAUCAUCUCUCUUUUGCCAACAAAAUAGACCUACCUCCUUUGAACGGAAGCAGACGAAACAAAAAAAGUUUGAAAUGGGAUUGAAAGUUUUUUUUUACCCAUUUUGUUUACAGUCGCCACAAAACAAACAAUCAAUCCACACUGUAAAAAAAAAUCUUAAUGAUUAUUUUGUAUUGUUUUCCAGUAAAAAAAAGUCUAAACAUCCUAUACUAAUCUAGAAGCAAAACUGCAUAAGACAUUAAGAAUAAGGGCCCUAUCAUACUUCUGGGCGGGUCCACAACGCGCGUUCAGUUUGCUUAUUACACACAGGGCACAGCAACACACAAACAUGCCAAAUAUUCAAAAUUAAAGGAUUACAGUGUAAAAGAAUAUUAUUGUGUAGGCUACAUAAAUAUAAAAAUGUCAUACAUGUCAUAAUGGAUAGUCAUUGCGUGUAUCGGAAUUAGCCUACCUAUUUGCUCGCGCAUGAGCAGAUCCGUUUGCUCUCUGGAGACGUGUUCAGUCUGUGCGCCUUAAAAUUCCGCCGUUUAAAUAGCGAAUCCGCCAUGGCGCAAGCGCAACUCGCUCUUAAAGGAAAUGGGAGAUGAGACUCUGAUUGAUUUAUUGCACGUUACACCCAAAAAACACCCAUUACUCAUUAAGAGAAUAGGGACAACCCGUUUAGACCAUGCGCUUGGACGCGCCGACCGUUUUUCCUUCGUUAAACUAGCAAAAGUAGAUUUGGACAUGCCCUAAGUGCACUUGUACUGUGCGCUUUAGACCAUGCGCUAAGAUCGUUAAAAUAGGGCCCUAAGAGUUAAGACAGUUUUGAAAUUUUAUUACCUUUACUACUUUUUUCUGUACUUCAAUCGUAACUUUUUUUCUUGUUUUAAGCAUAAACCUCACUAAAUUUUGUGAGAUUUAUGCUUAAAACAACAAAAUAUACAAUGCUAACAAAUGAAAUAUAAAUAUACAUAAUAUAUAAAAUUUCAUAUCAAUUAUGCUAAAAUGCAUAAGAUAUUAUAAAACUUGUUUUAAGAGAUUAUAAUACAAGAUAUUAUAGGGAAACAAUCUAUAUAUAAUCUCUCACAACAUGUCUUAUUCAAUUUUGCUUAUGUAAGGACAUCUAGAUAUUUUUACUGCCAACAUUUUGCACACGCAGGCAGAUACCUAUUACCAAACCAGUAUUUUGCCUCUAAGAACAAGGGCAUUUCUUAAGCCUUUUUGAGGAAAAGAGCAAUACUGAAUGUCACUGGCUCACAAGUAUCAAAUUUUAGCUGAAAUCUGAAUGAUUAUGACAUUAUGUCAUAUCAAUCACUGCCUGGCUUUCAUUAGGACCCGUGUGAAAACAGUUUAUUUACUAUGUUGACUAUGGCCAUGUGUAAAGUACGGUAGUUAAACUUAACUAUCUAUAGUUGCUAAAGUCGAAAGUCAAAGUGGGAGGCGUCCUAAAACACCCCUCCUAUCUCUUAAUAUCCCAUUACUGAUCUGUUUGUAGAUGCAGUGUCGUGUGAUGUAAAAGAAGCACAUAGAAAGCUGCUGCUGCUGCACCCGAGACUUGUGUAGCCAGACGCUUUAGGCUUCCAUUGUGUCGAGUCUUCUUGCGUCUGGUGUUUCUGCCCUCACUGCUGCUGAAAUCAAGCGGCCCAAUCACAAAGCUCACAUGUCUUGACCAUUUCAAUGCUUUGUGAAAUUGCCAAACCCAUUUUAUGGUUCACCAAUAAAAUGGAUUUUUUUUCUCCGUCUGUCUGUGGAUUCAAAAGGAAGAGGCAGCCCUGUGGCUCUGUUAGAGUCCAGACGUGCUUGCCCUCACAUUCUCUGUUUUUGGACCAUAGCUGAGAGGUAAAACUCAGAGACUUGUCAUCCCACUGGACUACAACAGACCAUCAUGCCUCUCUUCUUACCAGGUAUUUAACUGAACCUCUUCUGGUCGCCAGUACAAACCGGGUACUGUUGCAUUUCAUUUGAGAGGACUUCAUAGUUUAUAUUUGUUCCCUCACUGAACGUAACAUGCAUCUCGCAAAACCAUCAAUCCUCAUGUAUACCGUCAGUAUUAAAAACAGCAAAAGUUACUUGAUAAGCUCAUUAACCUGUGAUUUUUUUUAUUUUUGUUGACAGAUUACGAAACAGAACAGAUAUUAAUAUAUAAAACCUUUAUGUUUUUAAAAAGUAAAGAGUAGUUUAAGGCUUAGUUUUUUAUAUAUGAUAACUAUAAUUAUUAUUUUUGACGUACUGGUAUUAUUGAAUCUAUAAAUAUUAUACUAAGAGAUGUAUGUAAAAACAAUAAAGUCUUCUUUAUGUAAAACACUUUUAAUUUGAUUCUUAUUUUGACUGAUUUGUUCAUUUUACAUGUCUCAUGUCAGGAAACCAGAAAUCGAAUUCUUGAUGUUAAGUGUUUAAAUGUAACUUAAAUAGUUCACCCCUUUCUAAGGCUGUAUGACUUUCUUCUGUUCUUCAGUUUUCAGUGUCACAUCUUCCUUCAGAAAUCAUUCUAAUAUUCUGAUUUGG